GGGGGUCUAUAACAGCCAAUCACAGUUAUAGAGAGCAGAGGGGGGGUCUAUAACAGCCAAUCACAGUUAUAGAGAGCAGAGGAGGGGUCUAUAACAGCCAAUCACAGUUAUAGAGAGCAGAGGGGGUCUAUAACAGCCAAUCACAGUUAUAGAGAGCAGAGGGGGGUCUAUAACAGCCAAUCACAGUUAUAGAGAGCAUAGGGGGGUCUAUAACAGCCAAUCACAGUUAUAGAGAGCAGAGGGGGGUCUAUAACAGCCAAUCACAGUUAUAGAGAGCAGAGGGGGGUCUAUAACAGCCAAUCACAGUUAUAGAGAGGCCCUUUGAAACCUCAAUAUUCAAAGCAAGAAAUUCCAACUGUUUACAAAUAGUUUCAGACUUUGCCACACUUACAUGGAAUUUAGAUGUUACAUAUAUAGUGACACCC
ensembl:lncRNA